ACAGGUGCUGCAUGGCUGUCGUCAGCUCGUGUCGUGAGAUGUUGGGUUAAGUCCCGCAACGAGCGCAACCCUUAUCCCCAGUUGCCAUCAGGUAAAGCUGGGAACUCUGGGAGACUGCCGGUGAUAAACCGGAGGAAGGCGGGGAUGACGUCAAGUCCUCAUGGCCCUUACAUCCCGGGCUACACACGUGCUACAAUGGCAGGUACAGAGGGGCUGCGAAGCCGCGAGGUGGAGCGAAUCCCAGAAAACCUGUCUCAGUCCGGAUUGAAGUCUGCAACUCGACUUCAUGAAGGCGGAAUCGCUAGUAACCGCGAAUCAGCAGGUCGCGGUGAAUACGUUCCCGGGCCUU
rnacentral:rRNA from 1 species